rnacentral:rRNA from 1 species
GACGAACGCUGGCGGCGUGCUUAACACAUGCAAGUCGAACGGGAUUUCGUAAACGGAAGCCUCGGUGGAAGAUUACUAAUGAGAGUGGCGAACGGGUGAGUAACGCGUGAGCAACCUGCCUAUGACAGUGGGAUAGCCUCGGGAAACCGGGAUUAAUACCGCAUAAAAUCGUAGAAACACAUGUUUCAACGGUCAAAGAUUUAUCGGUCAUAGAUGGGCUCGCGUCUGAUUAGCUAGUUGGUGAGAUAACAGCCCACCAAGGCGACGAUCAGUAGCCGGUGAGGGAGAAAGAAGGCACAAAGGGGAAGUGAGACCGGACCAAACCACUACGGGGGGGAGGAGGGGGGAAAUAGAGCAAAGGGGGGAAACCCCGGAGACGGCGACGCGGGGAAAAGAAAAAAGUUAUUGGUAGAAAAAAUUUUUUUCUAAGGGAAAGAAAAUAAAAGUACAAAAGAAAAAAGCCCCGCCAAAACCCGUC